rnacentral:rRNA from 1 species
UGGGGAAUCUUCCGCAAUGGACGAAAGUCUGACGGAGCAACGCCGCGUGAGUGAAGAAGGUCUUCGGAUUGUAAAGCUCUGUCGUUUGGGACGAAUGUGAUGUGGGUAAAUAAUCCAUAUUAAUGACGGUACCAAAGGAGGAAGCCACGGCUAACUACGUGCCAGCAGCCGCGGUAAUACGUAGGUGGCAAGCGUUGUCCGGAAUUAUUGGGCGUAAAGGGCGUGUAGGUGGGUAAAUAAGUCUUGAGUCUAAGUGCGGUGCUUAACGCCGUAUAGGCGCAGGAAACUGUAUAUCUUGAGUGCAGGAGAGGAAAGUGGAAUUCCCGGAGUAGCGGUGAAAUGCGUAGAUAUCGGGAGGAACACCAGUGGCGAAGGCGACUUUCUGGACUGUGUCUGACACUGAGGCGCGAAAGCUAGGGGAGCGAACGGGAUUAGAUACCCCCGUAGUCC